UCUAGGGCACAGAGCAAGCCCGUUUCAGGUUUCGAGCAGUGUUCGAGAAAUCAGCCGAGGCGCUAGGCCGGAGGACCCCGACGCUAAAGAGUUAAGCGGCGCCUAGGGGGCCUGGGCGGAUCUAGGCGGCGCCUAGGCUGCCUGGGGGGAUCUAGGCGGCCCCUAUGCUGCCUGGGUUGAUCUAGGCGGCGCCUAGGCGGCCUCGGCGGGUCGUGUACUUUUUUUUCCAAAUGAAGACAGACGAAGCUUGCACUCGCAGAGGAAUGUGGUGCACGAGUGAUAUGAAGAGACAGAGAAACGAACACGAAGCUUGCACUCGCAGUCUAAUCUUCAAAAUUCAAAUACUCGGUCUUGAGCCUCUCUCUCAACUCAAGCUUCGAUUUUUUUUCCUUCGUUUCAGCUGCUGCGUUGAUUCGAUUUUUUUUGUGCUUUUCUGUUAUUGAAGUUCGCAACGUCAGAUGAACAUCCAAGACAGUUUCUUGGUAUGCCAGAGGAAGCCCAGCAGAUGGUUCUUUAACCUGAGGCACACCUUGCAGUUUGGCAUUGGAUUACACCAUGCCGGUCUGAAUGACAAAGAUAGAUCUCUGGUUGAGGAGCUUUUUGCAUACAACAAGAUUCAGGCAUUUCUGUUUUACCUCAGUAUUGGUUUGUACCAGCACAUUGGCAAGGGGUGUAAACCUUCCAAGUCAUCAUCUGGUCAUUAUUAAGUGAUUACGUCACAGGCUUGAAGUCAGUAUUGGAUCAAAGUAUACGAAUCAUGUAGGCCAUGAUAGAUAUAUGUGCUAACAGCGGGUGGAUUUCAAGCUCAAUUACUUGCAUGCAUCUUCCGCAAAUGGUCAUGCAGGUAUUCUUCUUAGUAGUAGUACUUGCCUAGAAUAAAAGACGAGUGCAAAUUGGGCAUUCUGCCUUGUUUAUAUUGUUACAUUCUACAUCCAGCAUAUGAGUUGAUUAGUCAGAGAUGUUAAUCGGCGAUGCUGAGCAUCCUUGAAUGUUGUUAGUACAUGCCUCUUUCCUGUAUUGUUUAUCUUGUUUUGUUUUUUUCCUUUGUCCUCCAAGAGAAGCUCUUCUUUUGUCUUAUUUAUGUAGAUUUAUCUGCCCUCAGAAAGGGUUGGAUGUGAGUUAACCAGACCCUCAGAGACCCCUAAAGCAUGAGAAAUUAUGACUUACUCAUUAAAGUGUUGUUAGAAGGGCCACUUUGGAAUUUAGCCAUACG